ACUAUUGGAGUCUUAUCCCCUUUUUAUUAUAUUAAACCUCUUUUGUUUUUCCUCCGCAGAUAUUGAAGACUGCCCAAUCUAGAAUAGCUCGUUGCUAGAAUACCUGCAUUACAGAAACCAGCUAAUGGAGAACAUCUAUUUCUUGGAACUGGAAAGCAAACACUGGCUCUGCAAUACUGGAACAGAUCGCCGUGACAGACAGCCUCUUUUAAUAGCAAAGAAAAUGAUGUCUUCUUACAAAAUGCAAAGUAAGUCAUUAGCAUAAGCAUUCUAUUCAUUUUUUAUAAAAUAUCUUUAUUGUUUGCACCAAGCAGAAACAUGUUAGAUGACUGAAUAAAACAUGCCAAUACCAUUGUAGAUGAGGCCACAAAAAUAAUUUAUAGUAGGUCUACUUAUUCCUCGACCAUCCAGUGAUCAGAAGUGUAGAUUAAGCAUUACAAUACUUUAAACCUUUAACAGUUUACACUUCCUCCCCCCUCCCAUCCUGGACCCCCACAUCAUUCCACCAAAGGUUGUUUCAUAUGGUAGAUUAUCAGAGCAUUAAUGGGUAUUCUCAUG